CGUUUAAUUACCCAAAUUGGAGGUAAUUGAAUGUUUCAAAAUAUGCAUCUGUAUAUAGACAUGAUGAAAC